AGGAAUUGGGAGCCUCAAACAUCCCAAACCGUAGCUAUCAUUUUUUCUAAAUUCCGUUUCCUUUAUUUCAUCUCUUGUAAUUUUCAAUAUCAAUCCGUGUUCUUCAUCUACUUUUCAAGUGGGUUUAUUACAUGCACCCCUUCGGUCUA